UUACCUGCAACAUGACAGACUAAUGUCUACAUGAAAGAUGUCUUUUGUUCACCUCAUUAUUCAGGCAACCAUCCAUGCGCUUUCAGCUGUCCAUGAAUGUUGACGGACAAAGCCACAGAAAUGUACGGCAGUGGGCUGCAGUAUGACUGGAGUGAGAGGCAGCUGAUGUCCUAUGCCAUGGAACUGCUCAUAUACACGGAGAAACUCAGAAAAGCUCUGGACUCAUCUGAAUUUUUGAAGAGGCUGUAGUAUUGUGUUGACAUUUUUUUGGAAGGUAUUUGUAAGGCCAAUAAAAGUUGCUGCUGGUUGUUUCA